GCCCGAGUGGCGGAAUGGUAGACGCAGCGGAUUCAAAAUCCGCCGCCGCAAGGCAUGUCGGUUCGAAUCCGACCUCGGGCACCA
rnacentral:tRNA from 2 species